rnacentral:misc_RNA from 1 species
AAGCAAUAUGUACAUGUUCUUUGGUACCAGUUCUCAUGUUAAUUUUGUUGUUAUUUUGUGUUGUACUCAGUUUCUGUAAUAAUAAUUGUAGAUAAAGAUAAAAUUUUACUAAAACUAUUUUUUAAAGAUACUAAACCCCAAAAGUAAGAAGUAAAUGCUGAAAAUUUCUUUAGGUAAACUUUCUUUCAAAUUCCUCAAAAAACUAAAUAUGUAAAUAUUAGAAACCAAAUUUACAACAACAUCUUAUUGGAAAGAAAAAUAUUAAUUACUAUGUUUUACUUUCUCUUUUUAAGUUGAUAUAAUUUCAUAUGUCAUAUUUGUCAAAUAGGCCAAUGUUUUCAAGGUAAUAUAAAAUUGUUUAAAAAAUUAUAGGUUGUACUUUGGCAAUUACUAUUUUUUUGGUAAAUUAACACUUUGACCUUUGCACUGGUUGUUGAUGUAUCAUUGCUUCCGUUUCAUGUUUAUUUUUUAAAAUUAAGAGUAGCUGGGUCAUUGAUUUUGUACAUCUUGUUCUGUAGAUGAUAACAUUGUAAUAUAGAUCGAAUGUUUCUGGUACAAGUUCUGUAUGUAUUGAGUGCACAGCUAAGUUAAUAAACUGUACUAAAGUACC